AAGAAGCUCAGUGAGAAUCUGUCUGCAGAGAAAAGCAUCAAUCUGUUCCACUGUCUGAAUGAACUGAAUGAUCGUUCUCUAGUGGAGGAGAUCCAACAGUCCCUGAGAUCAGGAAGUCUCUCCACAGAUAAACUGUCUCCUGCUCAGUGGUCAGCUCUGGUCUUCAUCUUACUGUCAUCAGAAAAAGAUCUGGAUGUGUUUGACCUGCAGAAAUACUCUGCUUCAGAGGAGGCUCUUCUGAGGCUGCUGCCAGUGGUCAAAGUCUCCAACAAAGCUCUGCUGAGUGUCCCUGACCUCUCAGACAGAGGAUAUGAAGCUCUGUCCUCAGUUCUCAGCUCCCAGUCUGCUACACUGAGAGAGCUGGACUUAAGUAACAACAACCUGCAGGAUCCAGCAGUGGAGUUUCUUUCUGCAGGACUGAGAAGUCCACACUGUAAACUGAAUACUCUGAGACUGAGUCACUGUCAGUUCUCAGAGAGAGGCUAUGAAGCUCUGUCCUCAGCUCUCAGCUCCCAGUCCUCUAGUCUGAGACAGCUGGACCUGAGUAACUCUGAC